AGAAACUUUCCCUCCGAAUCAAAGAGCAGAGAAAUUUCCAAACAAGAGACCUCAAUCAAUCAAAGAAGUAAAAAAGAAUAUUUGUUUCACUUUUUGGGGGUUAAAUGCAUGUGAAAGUGCCACGCACUGCGAGGAAACUUCCUGUUUCCCUGUCGGAAAGAAAUGCCGUAGUAUCCGCGUAAGACCAUUAUGGCUGAACUCCGGUCAACACUUUUUACUGUAUAGAAAAAGAAGAGCCGAGAGAGACGGUGGCUCCAGUGUCUGCUUAAGUUGAUAAAAAGCUCCAAAGCUCCGAAAGAAAGGUCAGUUUUAGCUUUUAGUAUUCUCAGGAAAUUAAAUCGGAUGCUUGCUUGUUCAUCUCUUGACUGCAAAAUCUAAAAUCUGCUUUGUCCUUCCAUUCCUUGCUUUGUUUGAUUGUCUUUAGCUUGUCUUGGCCCUGUUCAUUUCAGAUAUGUUUGUGUUUAUUAUGCCUUCAUAUGCCAUGAUCUUGAGACUGUGAGCAUGUAUCAUUGAUUCUUAAAGAUUGAAUAAUGAUCCUCUCAAGAAAAUUAAUAAUAAAUAAAACAAAAUAACAUGUCUAUAUAUAUAUAAGGAGAUAAAUAUUCUCUUUAUAUGGAGUUUUUUUUAUAAAGAAAACAAUUUUGACAUUUUGAAUUUCUUAAAAGAGAAGAUAAUAUAUUUAAUAAUUAUUAAUAAUUUCUUUUUAAUAUAUGUGAUGAUUAUUAAUAAAAUUUAAAGAUAUUUUUGUCAAAAUUUAUGGAAAUGCACGCGCGCGCGCCCAUACACACACAAGUGAAUUGGGUUUCAAUGUUUUUUUUAUCACUGUUGAGCUGUCUACUGAUACGGUUGAUCAUAGUGAUUCUUUCUAGUGUACUGAAAGUUCUCAUUGUUCUGGUCUUAAGCUUAUGCAAUUAUUUUCAUUUUCUUUCCUGUAAUCAGUUCUUGAAUGGCGGUGCUUAAUUGCAACAAGCA
rnacentral:lncRNA from 1 species